ACAAUACAGGGCAAUUGUCUUGUAAUUGGAAUGAUGGUGACGUAAAAUCUCACCAGAGUAACAAUUGGAGGGCAAGUCUGGUGCCAGCAGCCGCGGUAAUUCCAGCUCCAAUAGCGUAUAUUAAACUUGUUGCAGUUAAAAAGCUCGUAGUUGAAUUUCUGCGUUGCCCGACUCGGCUACUUGCCUUGUCUGGUUUCGCUUUUGGGGUUUUCCCCUUUUUACUUUGAGAAAAUUAGAGUGUUUCAAGCAGACUUGUGUCUUGAAUACUUCAGCAUGGAAUAAUAAAGUAGGACUUUGGUUCUAUUUUGUUGGUUUGUGAACC
rnacentral:rRNA from 1 species